rnacentral:lncRNA from 1 species
UGAAGAGUGCUUCUGCGAGAGAAUUCAAGAACUGUGCUUAGCCAGCAAUCUGCUCGAGUGCUGAGGAUUCCUUUCGUGAGAGAAUUCAAGAACGUUACACUGAUUCAGCCUUCACUGAACUCAUUGUGAUCUCUUCUUGGAC